CCGUACACAAAAGCGCAUGUGCUGUGAGCUCGAUGAGUAGGGCGGGACACGUGGUAUCCUGUCUGAAUAUGGGGGGACCAUCCUCCAAGGCUAAAUACUCCUGACUGACCGAUAGUGAACCAGUACCGUGAGGGAAAGGCGAAAAGAACCCCGGCGAGGGGAGUGAAAAAGAACCUGAAACCGUGUACGUACAAGCAGUGGGAGCACAGGUUUACCUGUGUGACUGCGUACCUUUUGUAUAAUGGGUCAGCGACUUAUAUUCUGUAGCAAGGUUAACCGUAUAGGGGAGCCGUAGGGAAACCGAGUCUUAACCGGGCGUUAAGUUGCAGGGUAUAGACCCGAAACCCGGUGAUCUAGCCAUGGGCAGGUUGAAGGUUGGGUAACACUAACUGGAGGACCGAACCGACUAAUGUUGAAAAAUUAGCGGAUGACCUGUGGCUGGGGGUGAAAGGCCAAUCAAACCGGGAGAUAGCUGGUUCUCCCCGAAAGCUAUUUAGGUAGCGCCUCGUGAAUUCAUCUCCGGGGGUAGAGCACUGUUUCGGCUAGGGGGCCAUCCCGGCUUACCAACCCGAUGCAAACUGCGAAUACCGGAGAAUGUUAUCACGGGAGACACACGGCGGGUGCUAACGUCCGUCGUGAAGAGGGAAACAACCCAGACCGCCAGCUAAGGUCCCAAAGUCAUGGUUAAGUGGGAAACGAUGUGGGAAGGCCCAGACAGCCAGGAUGUUGGCUUAGAAGCAGCCAUCAUUUAAAGAAAGCGUAAUAGCUCACUGGUCGAGUCGGCCUGCGCGGAAGAUGUAACGGGGCUAAACCAUGCACCGAAGCUGCGGCAGCGAACGUAUCACUUAAAGCGAUUCAGCGGGUUACGAUUGACGGAGCGAAGCGACGUCAAAGCGUAUACAAAGUCGAGUCGGUUUAAGGAUACGUUCGUUGGGUAGGGGAGCGUUCUGUAAGCCCGUGAAGGUGGCCUGUGAGGG
rnacentral:rRNA from 1 species